AUGUCGGUUAUUACUUUUUAUUCGUUCCUCACAACUGCAGCUCUCGUAACUGGUGUUAAUGGUGCAGAGUCGGUAUCACAGGAGCCGCUUAUAGCGAUACAUUUCGAAGGACAUUCGAUGACCGUUAAUUAUAGCUACUCGGGCACUUAUAGCUCAUAUUCCUUACAACUGUACCGUCAGGACAAGGAUAAAGCCCCCAAAUUCUUGAUCUACAUCCCUAACUACGGGGAUGUUGUCAGAGCAGAUGGCGUAGGGAUUCGAUUUUCUGCAUCGAUCGACACUUCGAAAAGUGAGGGGAAUUUCACCAUCCGUGACUUGCUGCUGUCUGACAGCGCGGUGUAUUACUGCGGGCUGAGAGACACAGUGACAGGAACCAGAGGGAGCCCCUGGUUCACGGCGCACGGCCGCGUCUGUAACCCGGGCGCCCCUCACAGUCAGGACACUGAGCUUGUUGUCUACAACGAUUGA